CUUUUGUUCCACCCUGGUGUAACACAAGAGUGCCAGUGAGUGUAAACAGCAGCGGUGCAGUAGCACGUGGUGUUUCAGCCUCUCGUUACACCUUUGUGGUCAAGCUCCUGUAAUUAUGGCUUCUCGACAAGUCACAGGGUGAUUUAUGCCCUGAUAACUUCUGCUUUUAAAGGCUGGGCUAAUAAAAGCAGCCUUUGCAAAAACAACUUUUGCGGGAGGUGUGGGGAAACCCACCCAUCAUCGCACUUAGCAGGCAAAGCACCAUCUCAGCAGCGAGGCCGGGGGCGCCUUCCUCGCCAUCCUCAUCUGCACCCCAAGGGAUGUGGUGCUGGGAGGAUGGGUGGGAGGAAAGCCUGGCCUGGUGAGUCCCAGCAGGUGAAGGAGCACAGGGUGUGCAUCACCCAUUUUCCUUGUCUUUCUGUCCUGAUAUGCCCUGCUCAGUAUCCUGCAGAGCUGGAACCUCAGCAGCAGGUGCAGGGACCAGGGCUGGGUGUUUGGGAUCUUGGUGGUAAGGUCUGUGCUUUGCUAAAGGAGGAAAAUACUUUAUAAUUAUGAUAUUGCUUUCAAUAUUGCAUCUACAAGCUUCCUCAGUGCUGGGGCAGCCAGGAGGCCAGGGAUGAGGCAGGCAGCUGGACCUGUGAUCCCACUGUGCUGACCACAGCACCGGGCAUGCCAGAACUGCAAACACACAUGGAUGGCUCCCUGCCCUUUAUUAUUGAGGUUUACCCCACAGCCCCCAGAGGCAGCGCAGCUGCACCAGGGAGGCAGGCAGCAACCUGCCCCUGCGCACCAGGGCCAGCAGUGCAGCGGGGCUGCACCUGGGGACGUCCGUGCUGGCCCUACUGACCUGCCCCGUUAAAUGCUGCUGCAACUUCAGCCUAGUGGCAAUCCACCCUGGAAGUUCAGAUGUGGGCACAGACUGUGUUUUUGUGUUUUAAGCACCAUGGAGUUAAACCUUAAAUCAGCUCCUACUUCAAAGCAUUCCCACUGUAACUAUAAGACCAGAAGGAUGAGGUGGGCACUGGCAAACAUAGAAAGCAUAGGAAUAUUUUUGCAAGAUCUAACAUAUUUAAAUUGUUCUCUCGAGGUGAGUUUAUAAUUUUAUUUUUAUUUUGCAGCUAGGAAAGAGAAGAUUUUCGUCUGACUGCUUUAUUAACAUGGGUCUGAAACCAUUCCUGAACAAAAAGCAAGCAGGCCAUGCCACAACUAAGACCAGCAUACUGAGUUUCCUGGGGUGGAAAAAUCAUGGACAAAUCAGGUGUUGAAAUGAAAGCUGAAUCCGUACCUUAACUGAAACCUUUGCAAAUAAUACAACGAACACAAAGGAGAGAACAAUUUAGAUUUUUGUAAAGAUUUUUUGUACUUAUUUUUUGUGUGGUAUAUUUGAUUUCUCAGAUUUUUUUUUCUUUUUACUCCUGAAAAACAUGGUUGUACUUGCCUAAACAAACUAGUUAGACUUGAGAAAAUAUUCAGAGUAAAAUUUAAAUUUAGUUGAAACUUGCUUGGCUUCAGGUUUCUUUACAGUCUCUAAGCUCAGCCCUGGUUCACU
ensembl:lncRNA